GUGGGGAAUAUUGGACAAUGGGCGCAAGCCUGAUCCAGCCAUGCCGCGUGAGUGAUGAAGGCCUUAGGGUUGUAAAGCUCUUUCACCGAUGAAGAUAAUGACGGUAGUCGGAAAAUAAGCCCCGGCUAACUUCGUGCCAGCAGCCGCGGUAAUACGAAGGGGGCGAGCGUUAUUCGGAAUCACUGGGCGUAAAGCGUGCGUAGGCGGCUUUGCAAGUUGGGAGUGAAAGCCCAGGGCUCAACCCUGGAAUUGCUCUCAAAACUGCAAGGCUCGAAUUCGGGAGAGGAUAGCGGAAUUGUCAGUGUAGCAGUGAAAUGCGUAGAUAUUGACAGGAACACCAGUGGCGUAAGCGGCUAUCUGGACCGAUAUUGACGCUGAGGCACGAAAGCGUGGGGAUCAAACAGGAUUAGAUACCCCAGUAGUCC
rnacentral:rRNA from 1 species